CCUACGGGCGGCAGCAGUGAGGAAUAUUGGUCAAUGGCCGGAAGGCUGAACCAGCUAAGCCGCGUGAGGGAGGAAGGCGCAGAGCGUCGCAGACCUCUUUUUCCGGGGGACAAAAGGCCGGAUUCGUCCGGUCCUUUGGGUACCCUGAGAUAAAGCAUCGGCUAACUCCAUUCCAGCAGCCGCGGUAAUACGGGGGAUGGGAGCGUUAUCCGGAUUCAUUGGGUUUAAGGGGUGCGCAGGCGGGCCUUUAAGCCGGCGGUGAAAUCGCGGGGCUAAACCCCGCCGAGCCGUUGGAACUGGGAGACUUGAGUGCGGCAGAGGCAGGCGGAAUGCGAGGUGUAGCGGUGAAAUGCAUAGAUAUCGCGCAGAACCCCGAUUGCGAAGGCAGCGUGCCGUGCCGCAACUGACGCUGAGGCACGAAAGCGCGGGGAUCGAACAGGAUUAGAUACCCUGGUAGUC
rnacentral:rRNA from 1 species